UGCGUAGGCGGUUGGGCAAGUCUGGUGUGAAAUCUCCCGGCUUAACUGGGAGGGUGCGCCGGAAACUGCUUGACUAGAGUGUGGGAGAGGAAAGUGGAAUUCCUGGUGUAGCGGUGAAAUGCGUAGAUAUCAGGAGGAACACCUGCGGUGUAGACGGCUUUCUGGACCACUACUGACGCUGAGGCACGAAAGCGUGGGGAGCAAACAGGAUUAGAUACCCUGGUAGUCCACGCCCUAAACGAUGCGGACUUGGUGUGCGCCCUUCAUUGGGUGCGUGCCGGAGCUAACGCGUUAAGUCCGCCGCCUGGGGAGUACGGUCGCAAGGCUGAA
rnacentral:rRNA from 1 species